UUCCGGGUGGCGCAUCUGGUUGCGCUUCUGACUAUCAAGCAGAUACCCUGGGUUCGAACCCACCAGGGU